UGCUCGAAGCCACACCAGGAGACAGCAGUGUGGUUAUUCCCUUGCUGUUUCUGCACUCCCUUGUCCUCUCCCCUGCUCAUUACCUGGGACACCUGAUCUCCAGCUGCCCUUCAAAUCUUGCAUCUCUCAGAGCUUUGGUUCCCGUUGAAGGACAAGGAUGCCCAACCCUGAGGACCCCGAGGGCCGAGAAGCGCCAUCUCAUCAAAAAACCAGGCGC